UUUGGGAAGUAAAAAAUCGUAACAAGGUCUCCGUAGGUGAACCUGCGGAGGGAUCAUUACACAAAUAUGAAGGCGGGCUGGAACCUCUCGGGGUUACAGCCUUGCUGAAUUAUUCACCCUUGUCUUUUGCGUACUUCUUGUUUCCUUGGUGGGUUCGCCCACCACUAGGACAAACAUAAACCUUUUGUAAUUGCAAUCAGCGUCAGUAACAAAUUAAUAAUUACAACUUUCAACAACGGAUCUCUUGGUUCUGGCAUCGAUGAAGAACGCAGCGAAAUGCGAUAAGUAGUGUGAAUUGCAGAAUUCAGUGAAUCAUCGAAUCUUUGAACGCACAUUGCGCCCUUUGGUAUUCCAAAGGGCAUGCCUGUUCGAGCGUCAUUUGUACCCUCAAGCUUUGCUUGGUGUUGGGCGUCUUGUCUCUAGCUUUGCUGGAGACUCGCCUUAAAGUAAUUGGCAGCCGGCCUACUGGUUUCGGAGCGCAGCACAAGUCGCACUCUCUAUCAGCAAAGGUCUAGCAUCCAUUAAGCCUUUUUUCAACUUUGACCUCGGAUCAGGUAGGAACCCCCAC
rnacentral:rRNA from 1 species